rnacentral:rRNA from 1 species
UGGGCAACAGGUUAAUAUUCCUGUACGGGCACCAAUUGCGAUGGGGGGACGGAGAAGGCUAGGCAAGCCGGGCGACGGUCGUCCCGGUUUAAGUGUGUAGGUGGGCUGACCCGGCAAAUCCGGUUAGCCACAACACUGAGGCACGAUGACGCGGCACUACGGUGCGGAAGUUGCUGAUGCCCCGCUUCCAGGAAAAGCCCCUAAGCUUCAGAUUGGUGUUC